rnacentral:lncRNA from 1 species
AAUAUAUAUAUAUAUAUAUAUAUAUAUAUAUAUAUAUAUAAAAUUGAGCUCCUAUGCUUUUAAAAGUAUCAAGUCAUUGGUACUUGUAAGUUUUCGGCCUUUGGAUUAAGGAAUGUGCGGUUAGAUGACGCGGGCCCCUUAGGGUUGAGUGGGUGGUUGGUUGAAUAGCAUAAUUUAACGGAUAAAAAUGAUCAAAGGCGUAGAUCUAACGGUAAAAAAUUUACAAGCACCAAGUGCUUUGUACUUUUACAAGUACCGAAACAGGACUCUCUCUCUCUCUCUCUCUCUCUCUCUCUCUCUCUCUAUAUAUAUAUAUAUAUAUAUAUAUAUAUAUAUAUAUAUAUAUAACAUCUAGCAGAAGAAACAAUCGUGUUAAAAUCGGAACGGCGAAAAAAUAGAUCCAGAAAAUAAUUUAAUGUAGGAAACGAAAAAAGAUAAGGAAAGAGCACACCGAUAUUUACGUGGUUCGGCCAACGGCCUACGUCAACGGGCGAAAACAGAGCAAAUGCUUUAUUAAUGUCGAAAAGACGGAGUACAAAAAAGAUCUCUCAAAAGAACCAAACUUAAUUAGAUCGGAAACGCUGCAGCAAGCAACUCCAAAGCGGCUUCUCUCUCAACCCGUACAGAACAAAAAUUGGCCUUAAUUUGCCGGCGGCUUGGCUCUCUCUAAUAUGCAAUUAGGGAUGUCAAUGGGUAUGGAUACCCGAAAUAUUACCUGAACCCGAACCCGAACAGGACGGGUUUACCCGAGCUAAACGGAUAUGGAUUCGGUUAUGGAUAUAGAAAAUAAAAAUCCGACGGAUAUGGAUACAGGUAUGGAUUUUGUAUUUACCCGACCCGAACCCAAACCCGACCCGAACCCGAACUCAAACCCGAAUAAAUUAUAUAUAUAAAUACUUUAUUUUUAUUUAUUUAUAUAAUAUAUAAAAUAUUUAAUAAUUUUUACUUUUUAGAUCUUCAUUCAACGGUAUGAAUUUUUAAAACCCGUCGGAUCUGGGUCCGGGUUUGGGUUUCGGAUUUUUGGUCGGAUACGGAUAUGGGCAUGGAUUUUUAAAACCCACCGGAUUCGGGUUCGGGUAUAGAUUUUAAUUU